GCGGGCUGGAGGCUGCCGGCAGCGGCGCACCUGUCAGCGGCGCCGGGCCCCGGACCGCCCGCUGGAGGAGCCGGGAGGACGGGACCGGCAGGGGGAGGUGUGCCCGCCGCCCCGGCCGCCCCCCUGCGCCCCGGCGGCCGUCGGAGAUGGAAGCCUGCUUCGUCGGUCAGUGCAGUCAGGGUCAGUGGGAAAAUAAUUUAGAGCAAAACCCUGAGCGGGAGUUUUGCCCCCGGGCCAGCGGGAAGCCGGUCCUGUUUUAAGUAGCGACUUGCAGGGAUGCUGUGAAAAAUGGUGUCAGAAAACUUCUCCUAAGUCCACGUUACUGAAGCCAGGGUGAUUUGGACCUUUGAGGGAGUGAUUUCAAAAAGUUAGAUGUUUGUUUCCGUGAUUUAAUGUUCAAAAUAAGGUACAACACCGAAGCCCCAGGAGAAGUUGUCCACAUUCAGCCUACUGGCCCGCAGACUCUAUCCACUGAGCCAAACCGGUUUCGGCCCAACCUGUUUCUUAAACAUUUAUUGCUACUGUGUACUACUCUUGAGUGUAUGUGUCUUCUUUUAUAGACAACACUAGAGGCCCAGUGCAUGAAAUUCAUGCACGGAGGGGGCGGUGCAGACUCUCAGCCCGGCUUGCGUCCUCUAGCAAUCCAGGACCCCUCAGUGGAUGUCGGGCCUAAACCGGCAGUCGAACAUCCCUCUCACAAUCCUGGACGCUGCAUGUACCAGUGACCAUACUUUUCAUACCGGAAUUUAUCCUACCUUGGUACUUGCAAACAGACUCGUGACCUUUUUGCAAAACCAGAGUUUAGGAACCACCACCUGUCUAUCAAUUGAAUACUAUGAGUCCAUUAAAAAUAUUGAGAUGGGGAGCUCUGGCAGAAAAAGUGUUCUGGCCCGUGUGCAGUGACGCCGUUCUCUCUGCCAAGGGAUCAAGUUAAAAUCCGCUUUCCUGGAAACCAGCUCAUGUCUUUAGGAAGCAUGACCCUAAUUAGGGAGAGAUUGGGACCUUUGGAUAAAGAAGGGAUAGGAAAAUAUUUUUCAGCUUUCGCUGAUAUAGUAACUUACAAGGGUAAAAUAUGAACACUGCCCUAGCACGUUUAGUUCAGUGGAUAGAGCUUUAGCAAGCGGAAUAAAGGGUCCCGGGUUCGGUUCCAGCCAAGGGCACAUGCGCAGGUUGUGGGCUCGAUCCCCAGUAGGGGGUGUGCAGGAGGCAGCCAAUCAAUGAUUCUCUGUCAUCAUUGAUGUUUCUGUCUCCCCUCCUCUCUGAAAUCAAUAAAGAAAUCUAUUUUUAAAAUAAAUAAAUAUGAGCACCAACAAAUAAUUUAAAAAUGGGAUCUCCUGUUUCUGAGAUCUAAACUCAGGAUCACAGAUUUGAUAAGGUCUUCCUUGAAUCUUAGGUAACCCUAAAGUGUUUUCAACAACAUGUUGAGGAGACAACAAACAUAUAUCUCACAUUCCACAGGAUAUAUAGGGAAAGAGGCAUAAGCAUAACACAAUUGAUUUCCUAUUGCCCCUCGGGAAUUUGGGGGUUGUGAGAAGUUCUGUAAAAUCCAGAAAGCCCAGGACAUUAUUAUAGUCCACUAUUAACAUGGCUAAGGGGAAAAGAAUGAAACUUGGGUGAGGUUAGGAACCUGAGUUAUGUGCCUAGAUAGGCCCUGACUCACGCUGUGAUGAUGGCCAGUCACUUCCUGGCUCAGUGUUCCAGUCCCCCUAUCCCCCAGCCCCUUUGCCUGCCCAAGUAAAAUAAAAUAACAAUUUUAUUCUUUCUUAAGAAAGUUAAACCUGAUUGUUUCUAUAAAGCACUCUGGAAAAUAGCCAGCCUCUGAGUGUAGCAAUGUGAGAUGAUUUUAUUCAUUUUAUAACCAAUGUCCUGGGUGAUACCUAAACCAUGAGGACUAUAAACUUCUUUAUUUUUGUUGGAAUCCUCAGUUGGGGAGGAAAUACAUAGGUGUUCCGCUUCCUCUUCUGUCUCUUCUGGCUUCUGGGAAUGACACUGUUGUGUUGCUAAAAGGUCCCUGGGGAGAUAUUUGGGAGAUAACUGGGUAACACCCAACUAGGUCAGGGAAUGAGUCAGGGCUCAAGGACUCCAUACCAACCUCUCCCACUCCUGCCAGGAAACCUCCUGGGGUGAGACAGAGAUGAGAAGGGAGCCAAGGGGCGGGCCUCAGGGCUGCCUGCCCUGGGGCCUCUGGCUGGCUAUUUCACCCUAGUUUGCCCUGCAGCUGGACUGCGUCUGCUGACGUGCAAGCCGUGACACACUCUUGCUGACGUGCAAGCCGUGACACACUCCCCCUCCCUCUCUCCUGAACCUCUGCUCAGUCCCAGAAACAGAUGGCCCAUCCCUCCCCAGAAGUGACUACAGGAGAGAUGAGAAGGAAAGGGAAGAACCGAACCAGGUGGAGAUCUAUCCCUUCAGAAACACAGGGCAAAAUACAAGAGGCAUUUGUCUAGGAGGUGAAGAGGAAGCAGAAACUGCAUUCUCCUCUGACGAAUCAGGACAAGAACAGAAGAGCAUCGUGGCCGGGCUGACACAGAUGAUAGAACAGGAUUGAGAGCUAAGGCUGAGAAGGACCAAGUAAUAUUAGCCUGAAAUCCUGUAAGACUCAAGAGCAAAAUGGCAAUAAAUAAAUAAAUAAAUAGUCACAAUUCUUGUUUGGAGGUCCUCAGCUCUUGCAAAUCCCUCUCUCUUUCAUCACCAUCAAUCCCAGUUGGUGGCAAUUCUUAGACCUCUCCUCCAGGACAAAAAACAAAACCAUUUUAGGCACCUAAUGUCUCCCAGUCACGUUUCCAUAAAUGAUUUCACGUAGUAGUGCUCACAACAGCCUUACCAGGCAAGUUUUAUUAUCAUCGCCAUUUCACAGAGGGGUACACUGAGACUUUAAUCACUUAGAGGAUUAAAGUGAUUUGUUCAUAGAGUUUGGAAGUCGUGGGGUCUGUACCAGUUACCAGAGUCGCCAGAGAUUCCAUUAUACCAAAUUGCCUUUGAUAUAAAGUCAAAUCAAGUCAAAAAUAGUAGAGAUUUCUUAAAGCUCCCAAGAAGCAGUAAGGAGCGGACCAAGUAAAGAG